rnacentral:lncRNA from 1 species
UUAAGUUGGAUUAUUCUUACUUUCUUUUUCCUGCUUUCUGCAUACAGUGUGAUGCAAAAUGGUUUGUUAUGUCAUCUCAUAGAAAAUUCAAUCACAAUAUUUUGAUAUAAAUCAUAAGCAAGCUUAGCCAAGAACAACAUACAUACAGUUGCAUCGUAUAUGAUGUUUUAAAAAUCCAUUUGCCAAAUAUUUUAUUAAUUUAAGAUGGCAUUUAAAUCUUGUCCCUUUAAGGAGAAGUCUGAGUGACUAACUGCCUCUGUAUUGCAGCGUGAUUAAGAAAACUUUGGUUCUCCUGCACACAGAGCAGCCCUGCUCUCAUCUGUUUGUGCAAGUCCUUUUCUGUGUCUCAGCAAGGUCCAAGAGCUCACGCUUCGUUUCACAACAUAGUAAAGAGCAAUUGUUGGUCUGUCUCAAGGUAUGCCUUUGAACCAGGGGAUCAACAUUGGUCCACAUAGAAAGUGUUACUGAAGUUGAAGUCGUCUUCUACAUGGUAUCUUCCAACACUUAAAUUAUUCCCAUGUAGAAAAGAAAGAUGCAUUUAUGCAGUUCUCCAGAACUAAGCACUUCUGCCAUUUGCUGGAAGCUGUCCCAAGUUCAUGUUUUCCGAAUCUGUAAAAAUAAGAUUUUUCUUCCAGGGCUGCCCAGUCGUGCAGCGCCACAACAGUGGCUGAGUUCACUUUGUCAUCAGUGA